UUUUAUCACCGCAGGUACCAUGCAAGAUUACCACCACUAUAUGUUGAUCCCAGGUUUGUUUAUCCUAGCCGUGUUGGCCUUCCUGGAGAAGAGACAGCGACGUGUGGACAUCUGUAGGGGUAGACCAGGGCUCAUAGUGGCUAUCCCGUGGCUAGACAGCUAUGAGAACCGCUUUGCUUAUUCUGUUAUCUUUGGUAUUGUGUUAGAAUUGUUUACUGAACUGUUGAACUU